CAGCCGCCGCGGGAAUACGUAGGUGGCAAGCGUUGUCCGGAAUUAUUGGGCGUAAAGGGCUCGCAGGCGGUUUCUUAAGUCUGAUGUGAAAGCCCCCGGCUCAACCGGGGAGGGUCAUUGGAAACUGUCAAACUUGAGUGCAGAAGGGGAGAGUGGAAUUCCAUGUGUAGCGGUGAAAUGCGUAGAGAUGUGGAGGAACACCAGUGGCGAAGGCGACUCUCUGGUCUGUAACUGACGCUGAGGAGCGAAAGCGUGGGGAGCGAACAGGAUUAGAUACCCCUGUAGUCCCUGUCUCUUAUAC
rnacentral:rRNA from 1 species